rnacentral:rRNA from 1 species
GACGUAGGGCGCGAGCGUUGUCCGGAUUUAUUGGGCGUAAAGAGCGUGUAGGCGGCCAUACAGGUCCGUUGUGAAAACUCGAGGCUUAACCUCAAGACGUCGAUGGAAACCGUAUGGCUAGAGUCCGGAAGAGGAGAGUGGAAUUCCUGGUGUAGCGGUGAAAUGCGCAGAUAUCAGGAAGAACACCCGUGGCGAAGGCGGCUCUCUGGGACGGUACUGACGCUGAGACGCGAAAGCGUGGGGAGCGAACAGG